UACGUAGGGUGCAAGCGUUGUCCGGAAUUAUUGGGCGUAAAGAGCUCGUAGGCGGCUUGUCGCGUCGGCUGUGAAAACCUGGGGCUCAACCCCGGGCCUGCAGCCGAUACGGGCAAGCUAGAGUUCGGUAGGGGAGACGUGGAAUUCCUGGUGUAGCGGUGAAAUGCGCAGAUAUCAGGAGGAACACCGGUGGCGAAGGCGGCUUUCUGGCCCGUUCUUGACGCUGAGGCGCCGAAAGCUAGGGUAGCAAACGGG
rnacentral:rRNA from 1 species